rnacentral:precursor_RNA from 15 species
GGAAAAGGAUGCCCUGGGAGAUGGCGGGGCAAGCCCUUUUAUUAAUCAUCUGCGUGAUCUUACUCAGUGACUAAUAAAGAGCUUGCUUCUUCAUCUCACAGCACAAUGCCCUUCAG